rnacentral:piRNA from 1 species
AAAAGCUGUGGCCUGUUAAAGACU